GAUGAACGCUGGCGGCGUGCUUAACACAUGCAAGUCGAACGGAAAGGCUCCUGCUUGCAGGGGUACUCGAGUGGCGAACGGGUGAGUAACACGUGGGUGAUCUGCCCUGCACUUCGGGAUAAGCCUGGGAAACUGGGUCUAAUACCGGAUAGGACGAUGGUUUGGAUGCCAUUGUGGAAAGUUUUUUCGGUGUGGGAUGAGCUCGCGGCCUAUCAGCUUGUUGGUGGGGUAAUGGCCUACCAAGGCGUCGACGGGUAGCCGGCCUGAGAGGGUGUACGGCCAAAUUGGGACUGAGAUACGGCCCAGACGCCAACGGGAGGCAGCAGUGGGGAAUAUUGCACAAUGGGCGCAAGCCUGAUGCAGCGACGCCGCGUGGGGGAUGACGGCCUUCGGGUUGUAAACUCCUUUCGCUAGGGACGAAGCGAAAGUGACGGUACCUGGAGAAGAAGCACCGGCUAACUACGUG
rnacentral:rRNA from 1 species